CCUUAAUCAAGAUGAAAAUGUGGAUCCCCUUACGAUAUCAGGAGGAGCUGUCUUGAAUAAUAGCAAAGAAACAAGACAAAUACCUCCAAUUGUCCGCAAAAACACCUUGACUGAAGAACAAAGGGAACAUAUAAACGCAAAGAGGCGGGCUUCUUAUCGGAAGAAAAAAGAUAUGCUUAACCCAGACGAGAAGACAACUCACCAAACGACGACAAGGCUCUUUAAUGAUAUCACGAAUGUUCAUCAACCUUGCCAUGUGAUACGA